CCCCUCUCAGGGUCACAUUUGAAGAGUUUCCAGUACUCUACCAGCCACGACCAAGGGAGGGAGAGUCAAGCAGAGACAUACCCGUUCCAUUCUGAGCUUGGCCAGUGGCUAGUGAGUGGAAGGCAAUCUGCUACAAGU